AUAUUCUGGAGCAGCUCAUGGGCCUAGCAUUUCACGGACCAUAUUUUGGGCAGUGCUGCUACAGCAGAAAGGAAAUGGGUGACCUCUUCCUUGCUGGUAAUAGUAAGGUUGUCUGAGAGAAGAAAGGUUUGAAGGGGGGCCCAAACACCAAACUGCUUUUGAGUCAUUCCUGGGGAAGGUCAAGGUCUAUAGUGUGCCUUGUUUCACUUUAGAGUCAACAUCUCGCUAUUUGGGGGGAACGGACUUUAGAACAGAAAAAAAUAGCUGCUUGGGAGAAAGAGUUUCACUGCUAUGAGAUGUCAAGUCCCUAAAGUUAAAUGUUACUGAUGGAAGAAUACAGCUGAAGAAGAGCUCUUGGCUUGACUGAGUAGCUGAUCUCUUUACAAGAAGGGAUACAAGCCCUGCAGUGGAACUCACUGCUGAUCCUUCAGACUUGUCUUUCUAGGUUUAUCCUGCAGACCUUAUCACUGCAUAGCAGUAGUUCACGCUAACAUACAACUGCACAUGUCUGCUCUCAGAAAGCCUUUCACCUGGCCAAAGACAAGGCAACCAUGCUCCCCAAAGACGCUCGCCCACCUUUACUACAAAAUUGGUAUGAUUUCUCUUCAUUUGUAGCUUUUCCCCAAGUGAUAAUUUUGUAUGAUUUAAAUAAGCUCAAAUGGUCUUUUCGAAAAUGCAUCGAAGCCUACCACCCCCUUUUGUUGUCUCGGGGCCUAGAAUAGAAUUAAUGAGAGAAUUUAAGUUGUACUAAUAGCUAAGUGGGAGUUAUAGUGGAUCAAAAUUUGGAAAUUUUUAAUUUUUAAACAUCGUAAAUUAGACAAUUCAAGUAAUGUCAACAACAAAUUAUGCAAUAUUUGAUUUGUCAGAUAACCAUCUGCCAAUUGUGUUUAAUUAUCCCCCACUGAGCAAGUGCCAGAAAAACAGGUUGAGUCAUGUGUUCUUAUCUGCUCCUCUUUUUACUCCACAAAUACAUGACACAUAAUAUUUUAAACAAAGCAAUUUACGAAGCUGGAUAAUGAAGAUGAGAGCCAACCUGAACACUGGCUUAAGUAAAAUCAAUGAGAGUAUUUGCUCUAAAACUCAUACCUCACAUAUCUGCAUUCUAAAGUUUUUUUAAAAAAUUGCUUUGAAAUAUCUAUUGUAGAAUUUCUUUGCUGCUGCAACUACCCAGGGAGGUGGUACAGCUUAGUGGUUAAUUAAACUCUAAUGUCACAUUUCAUUCAUUCACUCAUUCAUUUAACAGAUCCACACUGAGGACCUACUAUGGGCCAGGCACUGUUCUAGGCACUUAGAAUACAGCAGAGGAGAAAACAUAUAGAAAUACCUGGGCUUAUGUUUUUGCAGUAGAAGCCAGAUGAUAAAUUAUCAGCACAGUAAGUAAAUUAUACAGCAUGUUAGAAAGUGACAUGUUAUGACCAAAAAAAUAUAGACCCGAGUGAAGAGGAUCAGCAGGAAGGCUGCCAUGGUAAAUAGGGUGUUCAUGGCUGGUCUCACUGCAGAGGUGGACAUCUGCGUUGAGACUGGAAGAAGGUAAGAAAGUUACCCAUGCAGACAGCUGGGGUAGCGGCAGGAGGAAAAGCCUGUGCAAAGGCCCUGUGAUGGGACCCUGCCUGCUGUCAUGGAGGAAAUGCAGGAAGGUCCACGUUUCUGGCUCUGAGUAAAUAACAGAAGAAGAGUAGGAAAUGGGGUCUGAAAGGGAACAGACUCCGAAUCAGGUCAGAGCCUUGUCCCCCACUAUGAGGGUUCUGACAUUUGUUUACUCUGAACAAAAAAAAAAAGCAAGCCACUGAGGGCUCUGAGCAAUAGGACUUGGUUUAUGUUUCAGAGGGAUCACUCUGGCUGCAGUGCUGAGAGUAGACAGUAGGGGGCAAAAGUGAAGCAGGAGCACAGUUGGGGAAGCCACCGAAAAUGCAGGUGAGCGAUGAGAGUGGCAGCAGCAGAGGUGGUGAGAACCGGCCCAAUGUUGGACAUGUUUUGAAGGCUUCGUGGACGGACUGGGUUGGAGUGUGAGAAAAGAGAAGUGCCCUGGAUAACAAUGUCGGGAGUGGCUGCCAACUGGGACAGAAGAGUGUGCCGGGGACAGGUUUGGGAGAAGAUAAUUAAUUCCCUUUGGCCUGUUAAGUCUUGCUUGAGUCUCAGCUCUAUUACCAACUAGCUUUGUGACCUUGGGCAAGUUAUUCAACCUCUUUGAACCUUCAUUUUCUCACCACAAACUGGGAUAAUGAUACCUAAUGAUUAAGGCUGAUGUAUGAAUUUCAAUAAAACAACAUAUGUAAAGCACUUAGUGCAGAGCAAGGUAACACAGUAAGCACUCCAUAAAUGGUGAUCACUGCUGCCUUUUCCCUCAUCAAAAUCACCAAAAGGUGAUGCAGACCAAUUUAUUGACUGAGCACCUGGGACUAACCCACCUGGGACUUAGUGACCACCAAGUUCACGUUUGAAGCCUAUGAUGUGCAGGGCCCUCGGGACCGGUGCUGGGGACAGAUCUAUACAUGUUAGUGACACACGUCACUCUUACGUGACACCAGUGGAAGAGGUCCAAGAAAAGGGCUCUGUGAGGACUGCUUUCCUACAAUUCCUUUGGAGAUUUUACAAAAAAGAUGUUCCCCAGAUUAGUAGCAGAAGAUACUGUGUUAACAUCCUGUCCCACAAAGUGUGUGAAACGAGGGAUUUUCCUCUCAGAAAUUACUGAGUCUUGACAGCACUGAAACUGCUGCUUGCCAAGUUAAGAGUAAGAGGAAAGAAAUGUAAAGACAUUUGAAGUUAUUAAUAGGUCAGAAUUUAGUUUUUUCAAAAAAAUAUAUUCAAAAUGUGUUUAAUUCUGUACCCUAAAAUAUCCAUUGCCCUGAGGUGGGAGCUGGGCCAGGGGUAUUGCUGACUGAAUGCUCUAGGGAAAAAACUUACACAGAAUGUCUCUCUCUCCUCCUGCAGGAAGGUAGAGAGAAAGAUGGACUAGAGCCAGAAGGUAAAAGCAAAGAGCAAACAGUAGAUACAAAAUCUGAGUUCUGGCUAGGCGUGGGGGUUCGCACAUGUAAUCCCAGCACUUUGGGAGUCCAAGGCAGGUGGAUCACUUGAGGUCAGGAGUUUGAGACCAGCCUGGGCAACAUGGUGAAACCCUGUCUCUACCAAAAAUACAAAAAAUUAGCCAGGCAUGGAGGUGCGUGCCUAUGGUCCCAGCUACUAGGGAGGCUGAGGUAGGAGAAUCACUUGAGCCCGGGGUAGGGGAGGUCACAGUGAGCAGAGAUUACACCACUGUACUUCAGCCUGGGUUACAGAGCGAGAACCCAUCUCAAAAGAAAAAACAAAAACAAAAAAACAGUUUUGCCAGGCAUGACAUCCUAGAUACUUAGGAGAGUGGGGUGGGUGGACUGCUUAAACCCAGGAGUUCAAGACCAGCCUGGGCAACAUAGCAAGACCCAGUCUCAAAACAAAAACAAAAACAAAAAACCAGUCUGAGUUCUAUCCGGUACACACUGCUGUGACUUCUGACUGCAAUGUCACUUCUCUCCCAGGUAAUUUCCUCAUCUACAAAAUGGAGGUACUCCCACCUACCUCACAGAAUUGAGAUGGGGCCAUGUUGCUUCAUAUUAGACCAAAGAUUAUUCAUGAUCUUUUUCUCUUCCCUUCCCCUUACCCUUUUUUUUUUCCUGCUAAAUUUCUCUCUAUAAGAAGAACUUAACACUUCAUGAGAAUUAGCAUGAUGGAGUGAUAAGAACUAAAUGGAGAUCAGGUUUGAAGUCUCACACACCCUCCCUAUAACUGUUGGGCAGUCAUGAAUCUCUUGAGUCUGAGCUUCCUCUUGGCUACUGUUACCUUUUUGGAAAUCACUUGGUCUCCACCCUCCCAGUACUUUGCACCAGAGGCAGCUCAGUGGUUGCGUUGCCUACUUUCUCAGGAAAGCUCUCUCCCUCCCUUCUUCUGAGUCGGUGAGUCACUUCCUCUUCUGAAUUGAAAUCCUAGGGUUAUUUAUAUUGUGGAGUAGGGGAGUCAACCACAGAGAGUAAACAGUAAAAGAGGGAAUUCAUCGUCCAAAUGGGAAGUGAUUAGGGUAUGAGUAAGCAUCACAGAGAGGUUGGGCCAAGGAAAUGUUUAAUAAAAAAAAAAAAAAAAAAAUCUUGCUAGAGUUAUUGUAGGCCAACCAGGAAAGAAGUAAUUACAUGAAAAGAAAAAUAAGUAACAAGUUGAGAAUUAAAAAAAAAAAAAAAUCUUCAGUGGCAUUAAGCAGGAGACUAACUAAGCAAGUCAUAUAAAUACAGGAAGAGAAAAGGGCCAAAUCAAAUUCUGUAACACAUUUUUCAGUGAGCAUCAAAAGAUACCAACAUUGGCCAGGCGCAGUGGCUCACGCCUGUAAUCCCAACACUUUUGGAGGCCACAGGUAUAUCGCUUGAGCCCAGGAGUUUGAGACCAGCCUGGGCAACAUGGUGAAACCUUGUCUCCAUCAAAAAUACAAAAAAAUUAGCUGGGCGUGGUGGCGCAUGCCUGUAGUCCCAGCUACUCAGGAGGCUGAGGUGGGAGGAUUGCUUGAGCCUGGGAGUUUGAGGCUGCAGUGAUAGGUGAUCACACCACUGCAUUCCAGCCUAGGUGACAGGGCAAGACCCUGUCUCAAAAAAAAAAAAAAAAAAAAAAAAAAAGAAAGAAAAGAAAAGAAAAGAAAGAAAAAAGAUACCAACAUUACUGUGUGUGAGAACACCAACUGAAUUUCUCUCUCACAUUGUGCUCAAACUCAGCAAUUAUUUCUUUAAUUACAUAAGAUCUGUAUCAUCAUUGCAAAAACAUACCAGUAAAAGUUUCAGUACAGGGGUUUAUGCCAGCAAGCCUCUUUGAUGUUCCGAAGUCAGAGAUCUUGAGAACACCACUGUAGGUAUUAAUCAACACAUUGUCACCCUAGAGAACAGAGGACUUUAAUCACAAUUGUUAUCUUUCUUCAGAUACUGUCUGUUGUUGACUUGGUAAGUCCAAUUUAAAAAAAAAAAAGGUGUCCUUACAGCUACCAACGACAUUAAUUCUGUAUUCUUCAUUAAUAGUUUAUCUCAAUAGUGCAUUCUUGACACUAUUUUUUGUUUACAUAUUAUCAGUUUGAAACCAACCGCCUUUGCGAAAAUUACAACAGUGAGAAAAUUAUGACAGUAAAAGAGAUCUGAUCUAACCACCACCAUCUUGCUUUAAAUUUCCAAACUGCCCUUGGUCAUUCCAGGGUGUAGACCAAGCUCACUUGGAGAAAUUUAAUUUAUAGUUUAGUUGAUAAUAGCCCUUCCCCAAAACUAAACUAUCUUUGUAAAACUAAUGAAAGGCCACCAGGUUAGGAGGAUGAGAGGGGCCUAAAGUCCGCUAAGAUGUAGGCACAGUCAAAUGAUUAUCAGCCCAUUAUUCUGGGGGUCACAAGAUUUGCAACUUCCCCAAUUGUUCCUAUAAUUGACAUCACUAUUGUAGAACUGAAGACUGGCCUUUUGAGAUGUCUUUACAGGCUUCUCCAUUUCUGACUAUCAGAUGGCAUCACCCAGACCUGUGACUCUGGACUCAACCAGUCCUGUGGCCCCUACCCAGAAGUGGACUCAACACACAAGAACCAUUUUCCACACCCCUAUAAUUACAUCCCCAACCACCCAGACCCUAGCCCCCUGCUCACCAAACUAUCUUUGAAAAACCCUAGCCUCUAAAUUUUUGGAGAAGCUGAUUUGAAUAAUUAUAAGAUCCAAUAUUUUGUUUGGCCAUCUCUAUGUGUAUUAAACUCUUUCUCAAUUGCAAUUCUUACAUCUUGAGAAAUCAGCUCUAUCUGGUCAGUGGGCAACAUGAACUCAUUGGAUGGUUAUAAGUUCUUCAUAAUCUGCUACUCAGAUCACAAGAUCAAAUAUGAUUCCUAAUUGGUUAGAGCUUGUUGCUAUUUACAGAUAUAUAAUGAUGUAUGUAUAAUUAAAUUACGAUUUUCAUAACUUUCCAGUUACCUUACUUUCUUUUCUA
rnacentral:lncRNA from 1 species